rnacentral:rRNA from 1 species
AGUGAACGCUGGCGGUAGGCCUAACACAUGCAAGUCGAACGGCAGCACAGUAAGAGCUUGCUCUUACGGGUGGCGAGUGGCGGACGGGUGAGGAAUACAUCGGAAUCUACUUUUUCGUGGGGGAUAACGUAGGGAAACUUACGCUAAUACCGCAUACGACCUACGGGUGAAAGCAGGGGAUCUUCGGACCUUGGGCGAUUGAAUGAGCCGAUGUCGGAUUAGCUAGUUGGCGGGGUAAAGGCACACCAAGGCGACGAUCCGUAGCUGGUCUGAGAGGAUGAUCAGCCACACUGGAACUGAGACACGGUCCAGACUCCUACGGGAGGCAGCAGUAGGGAAUCUUGGACAAUGGGCGCAAGCCUGAUCCAGCCAUACCGCGUGGGUGAAGAAGGCCUUCGGGUUGUAAAGCCCUUUUGUUGGGAAAGAAAAGCAGCAGGUUAAUACCCCGCUGUUCUGACGGUACCCAAAGAAUAAGCCCCGGCUAACUUCGUG